GCAUCAGCAGCACACAUACUAAAAAAUUGGAAUGAUACAGAAAAGAAUAGCAUGGCCCCUGGGAAAGGAUGACACUCAAAUUCGUGAAGCAUUACUUCUUGUU